rnacentral:tRNA from 1 species
AUUACUUUGGCAGAUAAGUGUAUUAAAUUUAGAAUUUAAUUAAUAUAUAUAUAUAUAUAAUA